UACGAAGGGUGCAAGCGUUACUCGGAAUUACUGGGCGUAAAGCGUGCGUAGGUGGUUUGUUAAGUCUGAUGUGAAAGCCCUGGGCUCAGCCUGGGAAUUGCAUUGGAUACUGGCGAGCUAGAGUGCGGUAGAGGAUGGCGGAAUUCCCGGUGUAGCGGUGAAAUGCGUAGAGAUCUGGAGGAAUACCGAUGGCGAAGGCAGCCUUCUGGCAUAAUACUGACACUGAGGCUCGAAAGCGUGGGUAGCAAACAGG
rnacentral:rRNA from 1 species